GUGCUCGUUUUGGCAGCACAUAGCCUAAAAUUGGAACGGUACAGAGGAGAAUAGCAUGGCCCCUGUGCAAGGGUGACACGCAAAUUCCUGAUGUGUUCCAUACUUUG
rnacentral:snRNA from 1 species